GGGGCCUCCUGUCGGGAUGUGACGUCACUGACGGUGCGGAGCAGCAACAUGGCGGCAGAUUACUGGGAGCGAAGAAGAAGUGACCCUCCGUCAGCCUGAACCGAGCCGAGGACACCCCGGGACCCUCCGGGACCGACCAGCCCGGUGUGGUCUCCAGGCUGGCGGCCCCGCCCCCUUCAGCAUCCCGCCCUCCUCUGCUCCCCCGGCCCCCCUCAUGGAGAGGAUGAGGAAGAUUAAGCGGCAGUUGUCACUCACUCUGGGGAGGGGCGGAGCCAGAGGAGGGGGCGGGGACAGGACGCUGAGUGACAGCAUCAGUCAGGACGUGACAUCACACAGCGACUCAGAGGUAUCAUCUCUCCGUUCUUCUGGAGGUCUGAAGGUUCGAAGUUCUUCUUCUUCAGUUCAGUCUCUGAUUCAGUCCUACAGCAGCUCUCUGAGGAAACCUCGAGGUUUGGUCGCAGCCUGAGCUC